rnacentral:misc_RNA from 1 species
UUUCCGUAGGUGAACCUGCGGAAGGAUCAUUAUUGAAUGACCGAACUGCGAGAUCUCUCGCUCACCCCACAGGUCGUGCACCCCCGCGGGCCCUCACUCACAUCCAUCUCAACCCUAUGUCAACUACCGCGUGGAUACACCUUUCGCAAGAUCGGAGGGGUGCGUACGUUUUCACACAAACAUUGUAUGCAAUGUAGAAUGUAUUUUUUGUUUUUGCGAUCACGCAAUCAAUACAACUAACAACAACUGUUCUCUUGGCUCACGCUUCGAUGAAGAACC